rnacentral:rRNA from 1 species
AGAGUUUGAUCAUGGCUCAGAAUCAACGCUGGCGGCGUGCCUAACACAUGCAAGUCGAACGAGAAAGUGGAGCAAUCCAUGAGUAAAGUGGCGCACGGGUGAGUAACACGUGACUAACCUACCCAGGAGUGGGGGAUAACUGAGGGAAACCUUAGCUAAUACCGCAUAACACCUACGGGUCAAAGGAGCAAUUCGCUUCUGGAGGGGGUCGCGGCCGAUUAGUUAGUUGGCAGGGUAAUGGCCUACCAAGACGAUGAUCGGUAUCCGGCCUGAGAGGGCGCACGGACACACUGGAACUGAAACACGGUCCAGACUCCUACGGGAGGCAGCAGUGGGGAAUUUUGCGCAAUGGGGGAAACCCUGACGCAGCAACGCCGCGUGGAGGAUGAAGUCCUUCCGGGACGUAAACUCCUUUUCGAUCGGGACGAUAAAUGACGGUACCGGAAGAAGAAGCCCCGGCUAACUUUCGUGCCAGCAGCCGCGGUA